GGGCAGGGAACCGGGCACACGUGAGGGGUCCUGGAUUAUGCCGACAAGCCCCUGGAGAAGCCUCUAAAGCUAGUCCUGAAGGUCGGAGGAAGUGAAGUGACUGAACUCUCAGGAUCCGGCCACGACUCCAGUUACUAUGAUGACAGGUCAGACCAUGAGCGAGAGAGGCACAAAGAAAAGAAAAAGAAGAAGAAGAAGAAGUCCGAGAAGGAGAAGCAUCUGGACGAUGAGGAAAGAAGGAAGCGAAAGGAAGAGAAGAAGCGGAAGCGAGAGAGGGAGCACUGUGACACGGAGGGAGAGGCUGACGACUUUGAUCCUGGGAAGAAGGUGGAGGUGGAGCCGCCCCCAGAUCGGCCAGUCCGAGCGUGCCGGACACAGCCAGUUCUCGGUGGAACUUAAAAUGCUGUGAGACAC
rnacentral:lncRNA from 1 species